CCUGGCAACCCUGGUGAGCUUUCAGUUGACGUAGAACGCCUCCUGGCGGCUAUGUUGGAAGACUACUGCAUUAAUUAUUCUGACAACAGCCGAGGGGCUACCCCAAACUGAAUUAUAAGUGUGACUAGAACUAGUUGAUUCAUCACCACGGUCAUUUUCUGUGGAGUAUAUGGCUGCUCAAACGAGGCCGGAAACACAAAGGGGGAAAAAGAUGUUUAAAGAUUCCCCGCAAUCAUGAAACACCAUUGGCAAUACCAAUGAGAUAAGACUCAAGAACUCAGAGAAACGAAGAAACCUUUUUGCCCGUCAAGACCUCAACCUAGACAGCUGUCAAUACAGGGUUUGCUACGAUCAUUUCAUCAUUGGUGGUAUGGAUCAAGGACAGGACAGGUGUUCGAACAGAGGUGCUUAAAGGAAGGCGCACAGUAGGUUCACCAGCUGACCUAUAUCAAGACACCCAUGUUGACUGGAUUCCCCCUGUGAAGAUGGGUAAUGCUGCAGCAGCAUCAGUUUCUACUACUUCUUCAUCUUUUUCUCAAACAAGAUGCACCCCAUGGCUAUACAACUCGAUGGAUUCUUUAUUCACCAGGCAGACAGGAUAGUGGAGUCGGGGAGAGGCUGCCUUUCUGGUUCCGGUCAUUUUAAUUUGGCGUCACUAAAUCAAAAAGAUAUAUAAUUCACAUGCGCCAAAUACAACAGGUAUAGAUAGACCUUACAGUGAAAUUCUUACUUAUACAAGCCCUUAACCAACAAUGCAGUUAAGAAAAAUAAGUGUUAAAGUAUUUACUGAAAUAAACUGGAGAAAAGAAUGAAUUAAAAAAUUAAGGUGCAACAAUAAAAUAACAUUAGUCGAGGUAAUAUGUACAUGUAGGUAGAGGUAAAGUGACUAUGUUUGUAUAAUAAACAGUAGCAGAAAAAGUUUGGCAUGGGCUCUCAAAUCCUGAAAAGGUUCUACAACUGUACCUUUGAGAGCAUAUGGACUGGCUGCAUCACUGCUUGGUAUAGCAAUAGCAUCGCCCUCGAUCGCAUGGCGCUAGAGAGGGUUGUGCGGGCAGCCCAGUACAUCACUGAGGCCGAGCUCCCUGCCAUCCUGGACCUCCAUAUCAGGUGAAAGACCCCAACCACCCAAGCCAUAGAUUCUCUGCUGCAGCACAGCAAGAGAUGGAACAGCUUCUAUCCCCAAGCAAUACCACUGAUAAUUAGCUAACAAAAUUGCUACACGGACCAAGCUUACCUUGCAUCUUUGUUGACCUUUUAUUUCAGUGUUUUGCACCAUCUAUGCACACUCACAGGGCCCUACACACGGUCACUCCAAAACAAACACUCAAUUUUCUCACUCACACAUAAUAUGCACAUACAUUUAUACAAACUACACACCCACAAGCUGCUGUUACUCUGUUUAUCUUAUAUCCUGUUGCCUAAUCACCUUACCCCUAUACAUAUCUACCUCCAUCACCCCAGUAUCCCUGUCACCUUACCCCUAUACAUAUCUACCUCCAUCACCCCAGUAUCCCUGCACAUGUAAAUAUGGUAUUGGAACUAACUCUUUUAAUAUUUCCUGUAUAUAGUAUGUUUGUUUACUUUAUUGUGUUUUUCAUAUUUCUUGUGUGCUUUUUUCUAGAAAUACAUUUGAUUAUUGCAUUGUUGGUUUUUGAGUUUGCAUUAAAGGCAUUUUACUGCGCAUGUGA